rnacentral:precursor_RNA from 12 species
UAAGAAAAUAGAAGAGAUUGUAAGAUGCGAAGACUGACGGGGGGCUUGCACAUUUCCAUUUAUUGCAAACUCAUCGUCAGCCUUCUCGCAUUUUAUAAUAAAUCUACUAAAAGUAUA